GAUGAACGCUGGCGGCGUGCCUAAUACAUGCAAGUCGAGCGAACAGAUGAGGAGCUUGCUCCUCUGACGUUAGCGGCGGACGGGUGAGUAACACGUGGAUAACCUACCUAUAAGACUGGGAUAACUUCGGGAAACCGGAGCUAAUACCGGAUAAUAUAUUGAACCGCAUGGUUCAAUAGUGAAAGACGGUUUUGCUGUCACUUAUAGAUGGAUCCGCGCCGCAUUAGCUAGUUGGUAAGGUAACGGCUUACCAAGGCGACGAUGCGUAGCCGACCUGAGAGGGUGAUCGGCCACACUGGAACUGAGAAACGGUCCAGACUCCAACGGGAGGCAGCAGUAGGGAAUCUUCGCAAUGGGCGAAAGCCUGACGGAGCAACGCCGCGUGAGUGAUGAAGGUCUUCGGAUCGUAAAACUCUGUUAUUAGGGAAGAACAAAUGUGUAAGUAACUAUGCACGUCUUGACGGUACCUAAUCAGAAAGCCACGGCUAACUACGUG
rnacentral:rRNA from 1 species